rnacentral:rRNA from 1 species
AGGACGAACGCUGGCGGCGUGCUUAACACAUGCAAGUCGAACGAUGAAAGAGGAGCUUGCUCCUCUGGAUUAGUGGCGAACGGGUGAGUAACACGUGAGCAAUCUGCCCCUGACUCCGGAAUAACUACGGGAAACUGUAGCUAAUACCGGAUAUGCGCCGAACAGGCAUCUGUAUCGGUGGGAAAGAAUUUCGGUCAGGGAUGAGCUCGCGGCCUAUCAGCUUGUUGGUGAGGUAACGGCUCACGAAGGCGACGGACGGGUAGCCGGCCUGAGAGGGUGACCGGCCACAGUUGGGACUGAGACACGGCCCAGACUCCGUACGGGAGGCAGCGAGGUGGGAAUAUUGCACAAGUGGGUCGACAAGCCUAGAUGCAGCAACGCGCGUGA